UACGUAGGGUGCGAGCGUUGUCCGGAAUUACUGGGCGUAAAGAGCUUGUAGGCGGUUCGUCGCGUCGAUCGUGAAACCUACCGCUCAACGGUGGCUUGCGGUCGAUACGGCGGACUAGAGUACUUCAGGGGAGACUGGAAUUCCUGGUGUAGCGGUGAAAUGCGUAGAUAUCGGGAGGAACACCAGUGGCGAAGGCGACUACCUGGCCUCGUUCUUGACGCUGAGGCGCGAAAGCUAGGGGAGCAAACGGG
rnacentral:rRNA from 1 species